UCCCUGGUAGUAUAUCGGUUAGUACACGCGCCUGUCAUAAUAUGGGAUAUGAAUUCUGCGCGCGAAAGCUGGGUUCGACUCCCAGCCAGGGAG